UGCCAGCCGCCGCGGUAAUACGAAGGUCCCAAGCGUUGUUCGGAAUCACUGGGCUUAAAGGGUACGCAGGCGGGACUUUAAGUCAGUGGUGAAAGCCUCCAGCUUAACUGGAGAAUUGCCAUUGAAACUGAUGUUCUUGAGUAUGGAUGAGGUGGUUGGAAUAUAACAUGUAGCGGUGAAAUGCUUAGAUAUGUUAUAGAACACCAAUUGCGAAGGCAGAUCACUAAACCAUUACUGACGCUGAGGUACGAAAGCGUGGGGAGCGAACAGGAUUAGAUA
rnacentral:rRNA from 1 species